rnacentral:rRNA from 1 species
CUUAGCGGCGGACGGGUGAGUAACGCGUGGGAACAUGCCCAAAGGUACGGAAUAGCCCCGGGAAACUUGAGCUAAUACCGGAUGUGCCCUUCGGGGGAAAGAUUUAUCGCCAUUGGAGCGGCCCGCGUCUGAUUAGCUAGUUGGUGGGGUAAAGGCCCACCAAGGCGACGAUCAGUAGCUGGUCUGAGAGGAUGAUCAGCCACAUUGGGACUGAGACACGGCCCAAACUCCUACGGGAGGCAGCAGUGGGGAAUCUUGCGCAAUGGGCGAAAGCCUGACGCAGCCAUGCCGCGUGAAUGAUGAAGGUCUUAGGAUUGUAAAAUUCUUUCACCGGGGACGAUAAUGACGGUACCCGGAGAAGAAGCCCCGGCUAACUUCGUGCCAGCAGCCGCGGUAAUACGAAGGGGGCUAGCGUUGCUCGGAAUUACUGGGCGUAAAGGGAGCGUAGGCGG